rnacentral:rRNA from 1 species
CCAAUAGCGUAUAUUAAAGUUGUUGCAGUUAAAAAGCUCGUAGUUGAAUUUCGGGAUCAAUAUAUCGGUCGUGCCAUCGGUACGUACUGGUAUCAUUGGUUUCUCCUUUCUGACGAACCAUGAUGUCAUUAAUUUGGUGUUAUGGGAAGUUAGGACUGUUACUUUGAAAAAAUUAGAGUGUUUAAAGCAGGCUUUAGCUU